CGCAACUGCCGGCACGCUGGUGCCUGUGAGAACAGGUGAAAAGGGAAUGUGCCAGCCCGGGCAACCGGGUCAAGCACAGCCGCCCCCGCGACCGUGACCGGAGAGGUCGCCCAAAGCCACUGGCAUCGUGCCGGGAAGGAUGGGCAACCGCAGGAGAGGCCGAAAGGCGCUCUGAAAUCCGCAAGCCGGGAGACCUGCCAGCGUAAGACGACUUGC
rnacentral:ncRNA from 2 species